UGCCAGCAGCCGCGGUAAUACGGAGGGUGCAAGCGUUAAUCGGAUUUAUUGGGCGUAAAGGGCGCGUAGGCGGAUUGGACGGUUAGACGUGAAAGCCCGGGGCUCAACCCCGGACCCGCAUCUAAUACUACUAGUCUCGAGGAUGGACGGAGAAAAGGGAAUUCCACGUGUAGCGGUGAAAUGCGUAGAUAUGUGGAAGAACACCAGUGGCGAAGGCGCUUUUCUAGUUUAUUCCUGACGCUGAGGCGCGAAAGCAAGGGGAGCAAACAGGAUUAGAUA
rnacentral:rRNA from 1 species